UACGUAGGAGGCGAGCGUUGUCCGGAGUUACUGGGCGUAAAGGGUGCGCAGGCGGCGGUUCGCGUGGCGAGCUGAAAUCUCCUGGCUUACCUGGGAGGAUGGUCGCCAGACGGGAUCGCUUGAGGGUCGGAGAGGGGCGUGGAAUUCCGGGUGUAGCGGUGAAAUGCGUAGAUAUCCGGAGGAACACCGGUGGCGAGGGCGGCUUCCUGGACCGACACUGACGCUGAGGCGCGAAAGCUAGGGGAGCAAACGGG
rnacentral:rRNA from 1 species